rnacentral:rRNA from 1 species
AGUGAACGCUGGCGGUAGGCCUAACACAUGCAAGUCGAACGGCAGCACAGGAGAGCUUGCUCUCUGGGUGGCGAGUGGCGGACGGGUGAGGAAUACAUCGGAAUCUGCCCAGUCGUGGGGGAUAACGUAGGGAAACUUACGCUAAUACCGCAUACGACCUUCGGGUGAAAGAGGGGGAUCGCAAGACCUCUCGCGAUUGGAUGAGCCGAUGUCGGAUUAGCUAGUUGGCGGGGUAAGGGCCCACCAAGGCGACGAUCCGUAGCUGGUCUGAGAGGAUGAUCAGCCACACUGGAACUGAGACACGGUCCAGACUCCUACGGGAGGCAGCAGUGGGGAAUAUUGGACAAUGGGCGCAAGCCUGAUCCAGCCAUACCGCGUGGGUGAAGAAGGCCUUCGGGUUGUAAAGCCCUUUUGUUGGGAAAGAAAUCUUUCAGGCUAAUACCCUGGGAGGAUGACGGUACCCAAAGAAUAAGCACCGGCUAACUUCGUG